CUGAGUUUACUUUACUAUAAACCAAACGCUUGCCAAUAUGAACACAUUUGUCAUUUUUAGCAGUAGUUUAGCAAGCUGAAGAGAGUCGUGUUGCACCACGUGACCGUGUGUUUUCACCACCAAUUGGACGACGAGUCAUUCAUUGUUAUUGUAAAAAGAGCGUGUCUUGUUUAGUGUCGUUAUGAAAUGUUACACUAGCCGUUUGGCUCGUUAAAGGACUUCAAGAAUACACAAAAAGCAGCAGCUAAACAUUUUAAUCCUGGGGACCUGGAUGUGAACCUGAGUGGCAGAUCUUUUGUGAUCACUGGGACCAACAGCGGCGUUGGAAAAGCUACUGCCCAUGAAAUAGCCAAAAUAGGUGGGACGUUCCACCUAGUGUGUCGUAACAAGGGACGGGCAGAGGAGGCAAAAGAGGUCAUUGUGGAACAGAGUAAAAACCAGAAUGUCCAUGUUCAUAUCGUUGGCAUGUCCAGUGCAAGACAAGUGUGGGAAUUUGCUGAACGUUUUGCAAAAAGCAACAUCGUACAUUUACUGCUGGUUCACAUUCUCCUCAUACGUCCUCUGCUGGUCCGCUCUCAACCUCUCCUGGACAACCAGCUGCUCCUCCAUGGCUCGAUUCUCCUGCUCAGAUGCCUCCCUUCUUGCUUGCUAGGCUAAAGAGGGAGAGAGUAUGAGUGACAGAGAGAGACCAAGGGAAAGAGAGAGUGAUAGCUUCAGUGAGAGACUGGUCUGCUGACAGGAUGGCCUCACCAAAGCUGGCCUUCCUUUCCAAGUACUCCUUCAGUACCUCUUCACCCUGGAACCACCACACAUAAUAUAUAACUUUCAACAUCACAUCAGUGCAUUCAUAACACCUUUGACCAGCAUCCACAAUACAUGAUAAUUACAUAAUAUUCUAAAAUAGCUGAAGCACCACCUCCCCAAAAUACCUUCAC